UCAGACUGCACGAGAUAAGUGGGGUAGUCAAAAGGGAAAGAGCCCAGACCUAAAGCUAAGGUCCCAAAAGUGUGUGUUAAGUGGAAAAGGAUGUGGGAUUUCGAAGACAACUAGGAUGUUGGCUUAGAAGCAGCCACACAUUCAAAGAGUGCGUAAUAGCUCACUAGUCGAGAGGUCAUGCGCCGAAAAUGUCCGGGGCUAAAACACAACACCGAAGCUUAGGAAUCCUAAGGGAUUGGUAGAGGAGCAUUCUAUACGGGAGGAAGCAGUACCGAUAAGGAGCUGUGGACAGUAUAGAAGAGAGAAUGCCGGAAUGAGUAGCGAGAUGGAGGUGGGAAUCCUCCAGGCCGAAUAUCUAAGGUUUCCAGAGUAAAGCUGAUCUGCUCUGGGUAAGUCGGGGCCUAAGGCGAGGUCGAAAGACGUAGUCGAUGGACAACAGGUUGAAAUUCCUGUACCACAUAUCAUCAGAACUGUGGGGACACAGAACCGGAGGAAAACCCGGGAAUGAAAAGACCGGGGCAAGCAGAGGACUGGUCAGGCUGGCAAAUCCGCCUGGCAACAGGAGACUGUGACGCGUACCGAACAGAAGUAGGGAAGUUUCCGUAGGGGCUGUCGAGAAAAGCCGCUAUUGUGUGAUAUGUGCCCGUACCGUAAACCGACACAGGUGGAUGAGGAGAGAAUCCUAAGGCCGGCGGGAGAAGCAUUGUUAAGGAACUCGGCAAAAUGACCCUGUAACUUCGGGAUAAAGGGUGCCACAGAGAUGUGGCCGCAGAGAAUAGGCUCAAGCAACUGUUUAGCAAAAACACAGGUCUAUGCGAAACCGAAAGGUGAGGUAUAUGGGCUGACGCCUGCCCGGUGCUGGAAGGUUACGAGGAGAGGUUAGAGCAAUCGAAGCUUUGAAUCUAAGCCCCAGUAAACGGCGGCCGUAACUAUAACGGUCCUAAGGUAGCGAAAUUCCUUGUCGGGUAAGUUCCGACCCGCACGAAAGGCGUAAUGAUUUGAGCGCUGUCUCGACAAUGCACCCGGUGAAAUUGAAAUACCAGUGAAGAUGCUGGUUACCUGCGCCAGGACGGAAAGACCCCAUGGAGCUUUACUCUAGCUUGAUACUGGGAUUCGGUACUGCAUGUACAGGAUAGGUGGGAGACUUUGAUGACAGGACGCCAGUCUUGUCGGAGUCGCUGUUGGGAUACCACCCUUGUGGUACUGGAUUUCUAACCAACCUCCGUGACCCGGAGGUGGGACAAUGUCAGGUGGGGAGUUUGACUGGGGCGGUCGCCUCCGAAAGGGUAUCGGAGGCGCUCAAAGGUUCCCUCAGAAUGGUUGGAAACCAUUCAAAGAGUGCAAAGGCAGAAGGGAGCUUGACUGCGAGACCGACGGGUCGAGCAGGUACGAAAGUAGGACUUAGUGAUCCGGUGGUAGAAAGUGGGAUUGCCAUCGCUCAACGGAUAAAAGCUACCCUGGGGAUAACAGGCUUAUCACUCCCAAGAGUUCACAUCGACGGAGUGGUUUGGCACCUCGAUGUCGGCUCAUCGCAUCCUGGGGCUGAAGUAGGUCCCAAGGGUUGGGCUGUUCGCCCAUUAAAGCGGUACGCGAGCUGGGUUCAGAACGUCGUGAGACAGUUCGGUCCCUAUCCGGCGCGGGCGUAGGAUAUUUGAGAGGAGCUGCCCUUAGUACGAGAGGACCGGGGUGGACUGGCCUCUGGUGUAUCUGUUGAGCCAUCAGGCUCAUGGCAGAGUAGCCAAGCCGGGACGGGAUAAACGCUGAAGGCAUCUAAGCGUGAAGCCCCCCUCAAGAUGAGAUAUCCCAUACGCAAGUAGUAAGACCCCUUGA
rnacentral:rRNA from 1 species